rnacentral:rRNA from 1 species
GCCCUUAGAGUUUGAUCCUGGCUCAGAACGAACGCUGGCGGCAUGCUUAACACAUGCAAGUUGAACACAGAAUAAGCCUUCGGGUUUAUUGCUGAGUAGCAAACGGGUGAGUAACGCGUGGGAAUCUACCUUUGUGUGGGGGAUAACUGAGGGAAACUUCAGCUAAUACCGCAUACGCUCUAUGGAGGAAAGGCCUUUCGUUUUUCAGUAACCAGUAGUCAGUAAUCAGUAGUCGGAUUUGGAAUGGAGCAUUGAUGCUUCAUGUCAAGAAAAUCUGAGCACUGAUUACUGACUACUGGUUACUGCGAAGCUAGGUCGCACAAAGAGGAGCCCGCGUCAGAUUAGGUAGUUGGUGGGGUAAAGGCCUACCAAGCCAAUGAUCUGUAGCUGGUCUGAGAGGAUGAUCAGCUACACUGGGACUGAGACACGGCCCAGACUCCUACGGGAGGCAGCAGUGGGGAAUAUUGGACAAUGGGGGAAACCCUGAUCCAGCAAUGCCGCGUGAAUGAUGAAGGCCUUAGGGUUGUAAAGUUCUUUCACCUGUGAAGAUAAUGACGGUAGCAGGAGAAGAAGCCCCGGCAAACUCCGUGCCAGCAGCCGCGGUAAGACGGAGGGGGCUAGCGUUGUUCGGAAUGACUGGGCGUAAAGGGCGCGUAGGCGGUGUCUUAAGUGAGGCGUGAAAGCCCCGGGCUUAACCCGGGAGGUGCGUUUCAUACUGAGAUGCUAGAGUGCGAGAGAGGAAAGUGGAAUUCCUAGUGUAGAGGUGAAAUUCGUAGAUAUUAGGAAGAACACCAGAGGCGAAGGCGGCUUUCUGGCUCGUAACUGACGCUGAGGCGCGAAAGCGUGGGGAGCAAACAGGAUUAGAUACCCUGGUAGUCCACGCUGUAAACGAUGAGUGCUAGACGUUGGAGAAUUCUUCAGUGUCGCAGCUAACGCAAUAAGCACUCCGCCUGGGGAGUACGGUCGCAAGAUUAAAACUCAAAUGAAUUGACGGGGAAGGGC